rnacentral:tRNA from 1 species
CGGGAUAGCUCAGCUGGUAAAGCAAAGGACUGAAAAUC